UACGUAGGGUGCGAGCGUUAAUCGGAAUUACUGGGCGUAAAGCGUGCGUAGGCGGUUCCUCAAGUCCGUUGUGAAAGCCCCGGGCUCAACCUGGGGACGCCACCCGAUACUGCUGUGACUUGAGUCUGGUAGGGGAGCACGGAAUUCCUGGUGUAGCGGUGAAAUGCACAGAUAUCAGGAGGAACACCGGUGGCGAAGGCGGUGCUCUGGGCCAGUACUGACGCUGAGGAGCGAAAGCGUGGGGAGCGAACAGG
rnacentral:rRNA from 1 species